GGCUGGCAACUUGCUACAUUAGCCCGCCAAGAGAAGUGGCAGUCAGGAUGCCUAAUAAUUAAUCAAUGGGCCAAAUCUUUUGUGAACGAGCGGCCAUUUUAAAAAGACCCGGAGCUGUGGCCCAUUUAGCAGGCUUCAUUAUUGAACUCCUAUGUUUAUACAUGUCGUACAUGAAUAAUCCUUCAUUUCUUAUAGGUAGGUAUUGUACUGUGUAAUUCUAAAAAAAUAAAUAAUCCUUAAGCCUUUUUUCUUGUAUGCCAUUAUAAAAGAUGGUCCCUUCCCAUGCGACGCCACUAUUUCACGAACGUUCAGCCGAAAUGAACGCGGCGGUCAAUUUCCGACAGCAAUUUUUUUUCUUUUUUGGAAAGUGCAUAUGUUAUUUUUUAUUUUUGCACGGAACAAUAAUGGUUUCUCUUUCUCUUUUAAGGCACCCGAUUCUCUUUUCACUUUCUUUUGCUAGAUCACCUGCCCUUUAAUUUUAUUUUUAUUUUUUUAAGAAGCAUGUGCUCAUAACUUAUAAAACGGAAUUAAAAAUCAUAACGUUCACGAUAAACUUAACAGUACUAACUUAGCAGUGCUUCUAGACAAUAUAAGUUCGAGGAAUAACUCAACAUUGCUAACUUAGUCGUUCUCAAAAAAAGUUAUACUAUAUAACUUAUGUACAUAAGUUUACUCCCACUAUUUCAAAUUAUAAGGCAUAUUGACUUUUGUAAAUUGAAUUUACUAUGUAUCUAGACACAACUAUAUAUGUAUAUACAUAACAAAAUCAAUAUAUGUAGAAAUAUCAAAACAUUUUCUAAUUUGGAAUAGAGGGAGACAUAAUUUACACAAUACAACUUAUGUAUAUAAGUUACACAACUAAUACGCUAGUGUAUAUAGAAAGUUACAUAGUUAUUAUACACAAACAGAAGUUAUACAAUACAACUUAGCAUAAUAAGUUAGCAGCAUAACUUAGCAGAAUAAAUUAGCAAUAUAACUUAUAUGUUAUAAGUUAAUAUAAAUAAAUUGCUACUAGAAAAAUAAAAUCUUCGAAACAUACAGAAGUGGGGUCUAGUUUUGUUCGCCUCGUCACGUUGAACACACCGGUGUAGACGAAAUUAAAAAUAGAUACAUCAUUUAAAAGUUAUAGUAAUUUGAAAUAAAUGUUUUGUUUUUUUCAUGAUGACGUCAAGCAGAAAGAGAAGUGGGAGGAGGGGGAAGGAGGGUGGGUGACCGGCAUGUAUGGUUCGCUGGAUAUCGUUCGCUAGAUUCAAAACUACUGAACGACCGUAAGAAUGGAAUUGUGCUUCCCAUGUGCCAUUAAAAAGCUAAAACAGACCAAUAUCAUGACGUUUAUCUCUUUUGCCCAACAUGUCAUUCUAUCUGAUUAUGCUCUUAACUGUGGGUAACGGCGUAGGCAAAUGACUUAGAUGCUCUUAGGCUUGAGAGGGUGUGUGACGAAGUUUGUUUGCUUCUGUGCCAUUUCCGGGCCAUUGAUUAGAUGUUCUCACAGCUAUGAGUUUGUACUGCAUCUCUAAAAAAUUGCUCAUGGCCCGUUCUGUUUUUCCUUUUUACAAGCUCAAAAAGGUGUGGUGCU
rnacentral:lncRNA from 1 species